rnacentral:lncRNA from 1 species
AACGAGACACUUUAAAAAAUAUAACGAAACUAUAAAACUAUGUACUUAGGUCUAAUAAGGUUAGAAAAUAAUAAUCGAAGCAAAUAUUUGAAUAAAUAAUUAAAUGAGCAAAAAUAGGAGUCGAAAAAAUAAUAAUAAUUUUACGAGUCCUCACAGAUUGAGUUUCAAGAAAAGGCCCUUGGGUUACUUGGCUCUAAGAUAGGCAUUGAUAGUCAAAUUUCCUAUUCUUUGAGGGAUUCACUAUUAUUUUACCCUUUCAAUAUUCUUUUUUUGGCACUUUUUACCAUACUAGAGCUACUGUGUGUGACGCUCCCACUUCUCCCAAGGGCGAACCCAAGAGUAUCCGCAGAACGCCUGCCUAACUCUCGCCAGGACUCGAGACAAAUCAAUUCAAAUUUAACAAUAUAUAACAAUUUAUACCAGUCUAAUAAGGAAAAAUCGCUUCCAUAAUCGAAUAUCCAAGUCUUGCACCACGAGUUCAAAAUACAUCUGUUAUCCAAUUCUUACAUCAGGAUCCAAAAGAUACAUCAAUUCCCAAAUAUAUACAAUAGCCAAAAUAUCUAGUCAAUUACAAUUGAAACCCUAAUACAAAAGUACAUCCAAAGGGUUCUAUCGAGUUUCACUCCAUCCAUUCCUGUUAAGGAAAACAAAUCUACGGGGUGAACCAAUAGCUCGUGAGGCCAAGAAAACACACAUGCAAGCACGUUGUCCAAGUAACAAUCCCAAUAUAACAAGUAGAGCAAUGCAAUUUCAAUAUAUAACAAUUCGAGCGAGAAAAUUAAACAGAAACAAUUCAAGAAUAUAUGAGCUCUCAGGAGUUAUUUUCCACUUGCUUCGCCAUGGCUCGAUCCGAUACCCCUUCGUGAUGACACUCCGUCAUCUGGGUGGGUAUUAUAUCCGUAGAAACUUCACUUAUUACUUCCUCCGACCAACAUUCCACCCUCUCAGAUCC